GAACGCUGGCGGCGUGCCUAAUACAUGCAAGUCGAGCGAACGGACGAGAAGCUUGCUUCUCUGAUGUUAGCGGCGGACGGGUGAGUAACACGUGGAUAACCUACCUAUAAGACUGGGAUAACUUCGGGAAACCGGAGCUAAUACCGGAUAAUAUUUUGAACCGCAUGGUUCAAAAGUGAAAGACGGUCUUGCUGUCACUUAUAGAUGGAUCCGCGCUGCAUUAGCUAGUUGGUAAGGUAACGGCUUACCAAGGCAACGAUGCAUAGCCGACCUGAGAGGGUGAUCGGCUACACUGGAACUGAGACACGGUCCAGACUCCUACGGGAGGCAGCAGUAGGGAAUCUUCCGCAAUGGGCGAAAGCCUGACGGAGCAACGCCGCGUGAGUGAUGAAGGUCUUCGGAUCGUAAAACUCUGUUAUUAGGGAAGAACAUAUGUGUAAGUAACUGUGCACAUCUUGACGGUACCUAAUCAGAAAGCCACGGCUAACUACGUG
rnacentral:rRNA from 1 species